GAAUCAUGUUUUUCCCGGGAUGUCAAAGAUAAACUGGAGUUUCAAUCUUGCUAUCUUAACAAGAACAGAGGGAGAACAAAGAAUAAAACAAGAAAAUAAAGCUGACUAUAUUAAAAGAACAGAGUAGAAUAAUGUUCAGUGUGAUGGGCAACUUGAACAAUUAAAUGAAAAUAAAUUCAAGAUUAACCGUCGAAGAGCUUUAAGAGAUUUUGAGACUGAGGUAAUGAGCCAUAAAGUAUUUUAGAGAAGUCAUUCUCAAAGUGUGGCUCCUGGUCCAGCAGCAUCAACAUCACCAGGCAACUUGUUAGAAUGCAAAUUUCUAGGCACCACCCAAGACCUACUGAAGUAGAAACUCUAAAGGUGGGGCACAGCCAUCUGUGUUCUAACAAGCCUUCCAGGGAAAGGAUACAGACACAAAUCACCCAGGGGAAGAGAUGCAUGGGGCAGAAUCCAAGAAGGUUCCAAACCAGGAGCUUUCAGUUACCCUUCCUCACGGAGUCAUGGACAGCGCUGCUUUUCUGGCAAUGACAUGUGACAAUACACAUCUUCUGGAGUGGGUAGAAGUGACGGGAAGGUGAAUGUAAAGACACAAAGAGGUCCCUAAAUGAUCUGUUCAGCUCCUUUUCAACUACCAUUAAGAACUGCUGUUAGAAGUUUACAAUGUAAAGGAAGAGACAGAGAAGAUAAUCACAACCUUCCAGGUGAAAUACUAAUAGAG
rnacentral:lncRNA from 1 species